GAUGAACGCUGGCGGCGUGCCUAACACAUGCAAGUCGAGCGAACGGACGAGAAGCUUGUUUCUCUGAUGUUAGCGGCGGACGGGUGAGUAACACGUGGAUAAUCUACUUAUCAGUCUGGGAUAAUUACGGGAAACCGGAGCUAAUACCAGAUAAUAUUCUGAACCGCAUGGUUCAAAAGUGAAAGACGGUCUUUCUGUCACUUAUAGAUGGAUCCGCGCUGCAUUAGCUAGUUGGUAAGGUAACGGCUUACCAAGGCAACGAUGCAUAGCCGACCUGAGAGGGGGAUCGGCGACACUGGAGCUGAGACGCGAUCCAGACUCCUACGGGAGGCAGCAGUAGGGAAGCUUCCGCAAUGGGCGAAAGCCUGACGAAGCAGCGCCGCGUGGGUGAUGAAGGUCUUCGGAUCGUAAAACGCUGUUAUUGGGGAAGAACAUAUGUGUAAGUAACUGUGCGCAUCUUGACGGUACCUGAACAGAAAGCCACGGCUAACUACGU
rnacentral:rRNA from 1 species